rnacentral:rRNA from 1 species
UGGGGAAUAUUGGACAAUGGGGGGAACCCUGAUCCAGCCAUGCCGCGUGUGUGAAGAAGGCCUUAUGGUUGUAAAGCACUUUAAGCGAGGAGGAGGGUACUGGUAUUAAUACUACCAGGUACUGGACGUUACUCGCAGAAUAAGCACCGGCUAACUCUGUGCCAGCAGCCGCGGUAAUACAGAGGGUGCGAGCGUUAAUCGGAUUUACUGGGCGUAAAGCGUGCGUAGGCGGCUAAUUGAGUCGGAUGUGAAAUCCCCGAGCUUAACUUGGGAAUUGCAUUCGAUACUGGUUAGCUAGAGUGUGGGAUAGGAUGGUAGAAUUCCAGGUGUAGCGGUGAAAUGCGUAGAGAUCUGGAGGAAUACCGAUGGCGAAGGCAGCCAUCUGGCCUAACUCUGCCGCUGAGGUACGAAAGCAUGGGGAGCAAACAGG